rnacentral:tRNA from 1 species
GGAGAGGUGGCCGAGCGGCUGAAGGCAGCUGCCUGCUAAGCAGUUGUAGGGGGUUGACCUCUACCCCGGGUUCGAAUCCCGGCCUCUCCGCCA